UAAGCGGCGGCGCUGAGGACCAACCACCGCGAGAAGACGCCCACAUCCAAACACAUUGCCUCAGGAAGGCCACUUUUCAAUUUCUUGUGUCCAAGAUCUUAAUUAGAAAAUGCUUUCUUGCUUGGAUGAGUGGAUAUUUACGAUUUGUUUUUACCGGAUCUGUUACUUUGUUAAUCUUUUCGUCGACAUUUUAGAAAUCGAAGAUUUAUAAAGAUAUGGAGUAGCGAAUUCUGUUUGGUCUCCCGCAUAACCCGAUUAGUUUAUUUUUCCUCUCCUUUUUAAUGAUUUCGAAUUUGAUUGUCGUACUGUGCACUAUUGGCCCCUUGCUGACAGUAGUUGUCUGCAAGGAAAUUGCGAGAAAUUGGUCUUUAGGUGCUAAAUUAAUUAUUUGCCAGAAGAAAAUUAGUUCAUGGGUGGCUUAGAUUCUUCAUUCCCAUGUAUUUUUUUUCUGUCAAGAUUUGGCUCAAAAAAAGUUUAUGAAUUCAACAAAUGUAGAAAAUCAAUGUUUCUGUCAUUGCCAAACAAGAUUGAUGUAAAAAAUUUUAGAUUCGUCUUUAUUCAUGUCAAAUAGUUCCUUCACUAUCUGACAGUUUUAGUUUUAUUAGUCCUGUUACAAAAUGAUGUUCCUCGCCUUUAUUAAUGUCAAAUAUAUGGCCUUUGUACUUCACCUUAAAAUCACACUAUUUUUUAUUAUUUUAGAGACAAAGCAAAAAGAUGAGAGUUGGAGAUCUGAUGCUGAUGUGGAUAAUUCUUUACCAUUGUCUUCAAAGUUCUCUGAUUGCUUUAUCACAACAUAUCACAAAUGCUAAUGUACUUAUUGCUUGAUGAUUUAUUUUGGAUCUGAUGAAGCUGAAGCCCCUGCAAGUUUGUUUUUUCUAGUGGACAAAUUCAGUUCAGUGAAAUGCUUUUCACUAAUAGAAUUGUAUCAGUUUGCUUUCAGAUUGGAAACAUUGUUUACUCUUGUGUUCAUCAUCAUCAAUUGUUUCAACUAUUUAGGUGAUCUCUAUCUAGUGUUGUAUCUUCAUAUUUCAUCAAAUGAUACUCAGAGGCUUACCUACAAGGAUGCUCAAUGUAACUAAAGUUUCCACGAGUUGGUAUGGUAAUUAUAUGAGUGUUUGACCUUUUUCAUAUUUGUGUUAGGGUAAAAUGUUGUGAUU